rnacentral:lncRNA from 1 species
ACGGACGCCCCAGGAGAGGAGGGUGUUUCAACUCGAGCUACUUCUCGGGGCGAUGCCUGUGCUCCCCAAGUGUGACGGGCCACCUCGAUGACACGCAGCCUGAAGCUGACCCCAGCGGGCUCGCCGUGGAGGGGACGGGCUCCACGCGUGUGCCACUCCCAGCACGCUGGGACCCUGCGGGCCUACAGACGCGUCCUGCAGCAGCCGCGGCCAAGCGGGGAAGGCGCGGAGACCCCGGCGAGGGCCCGGCCAGCCUGCCCGCCCC